CAACAUGGCGGCGUCCGCGGGGGGGGUCUGAGCUCAUGGGGAUACCCCUCCCCCCCGCGGGUGCCCCGCGGCACCCCCCCCCGCCCCAAUUCCCCUCCCAGCUUACCCCGAGGGACAUUUUGGGGGUGGGAGGGGGAGUUAUUGCACCAUCAGGGGGGUGGAGCCCCCCUAAACCCCACCUACCCCCCCAAAAAGUGGGUGGGCUUCGGCUCGACCACCCACCACGCUCUUUUCCCCUCCCCCACCCUCCCUACGUCUUUGGGGGGUAUAAGGGACAGCCCCCCAUCAUCCGGGGCGGGGUCUGAGGUGCCACAGGGAAGCAGAAACUCAUCGAGAGAGGGGGAGAUCUUGCUGUAUCUGGUUCUGUUCUUGAAAAGACAUGACAAAGCUCCAACACAGAUGACAGUGAAACUACCACAUCUAUUGUCAAAACAAUCCCAGGAUUGCCUUUCAAGGAAAAUCCAGCAGUUCACACAGACAGGCUUCAGCAGUGCUUAAAUUCCGAUCCUUUGAACACACAUAGAACUGAAAAUGAGCAACAGAUCACAGAAACAUGGACUCACUGAGGCUGUAAGGGACCACUGAAAAUGGCUCACACAGCUCCAACCACUAGCACUUAUCUUGUGUCCUGGGUGGAAGAAGGCACGACUUGGUUUUGAGCUACUGAAAACAUACCAGAGAUGCUCCAGACAGCUUCAUCCAAUGCUGUUAAUACUUGGGCAGAACAAAGAAGCAGCUAAAAGUGUGAAAAUCCAAGGAUGUAAGAAUACUUCUGUCGUCUGAAUGACACUUGAAAGCAAUGUAGGCUGUCUUAGUUGCCCAAAACUGUAAGAAAUGAAGUUUUACUUUUUCCUAUCAAGUGAUCAUUUUGUUUCUUAGAUGCUGUAACUCUAGUGAUGCAUGAAAGUUCAUU